GUCAUUUUUUAGCUCAUAAAGGUGAUGAUUGAGUCUUCACACGCACGUGUGAAAUGUGCCUCCCUCAAACACAGUUACAACAGCAACAUGUUACCCACCUGACA
ensembl:snoRNA